CCUACGGGAGGCAGCAGUGGGGAAUCUUGCGCAAUGGGCGACAGCCUGACGCAGCGACGCCGCGUGCGGGAAGAAGGCCUUCGGGUUGUAAACCGCUUUCAGGAGGGACGAAGCCACUCGGGUUAAUAGCCCAGAGGGUGACGGUACCUCCAGAAGAAGCCCCGGCUAACUACGUGCCAGCAGCCGCGGUAAUACGUAGGGGGCAAGCGUUGUCCGGAUUUAUUGGGCGUAAAGAGCGUGUAGGCGGCCAAGCAGGUCCGCUGUGAAAACUCGAGGCUCAACCUCGAGAGGUCGGUGGAAACCGUUUGGCUAGAGUCCGGAAGAGGAGAGUGGAAUUCCUGGUGUAGCGGUGAAAUGCGCAGAUAUCAGGAAGAACACCUAUGGCGAAGGCAGCUCUCUGGGACGGUACUGACGCUGAGACGCGAAAGCGUGGGGAGCGA
rnacentral:rRNA from 1 species